rnacentral:rRNA from 1 species
UACGGAGGAUGCAAGCGUUAUCCGGAUUCAUUGGGUUUAAAGGGUGCGUAGGCGGGAUCAUAAGUCAGUGGUGAAAGUUUGCAGCUUAACUGUAAAAUUGCCGUUGAAACUGUGAUUCUUGAGUGUAGAUAAGGUAGGCGGAAUGUGUUGUGUAGCGGUGAAAUGCAUAGAUAUAACACAGAACCCCGAUUGCGAAGGCAGCUUACCGGGCUACAACUGACGCUGAUGCACGAAAGCGUGGGGAUCAAACAGGAUUAGA